rnacentral:rRNA from 1 species
UACGGAGGGUGCAAGCGUUGUUCGGAUUUACUGGGCGUAAAGCGUGCGCAGGCGGUGAUGUAAGACAGGUGUGAAAUCCCCGGGCUUAACCUGGGAACUGCAUUUGUGACUGCAUCGCUGGAGUGCGGCAGAGGGGGAUGGAAUUCCGCGUGUAGCAGUGAAAUGCGUAGAUAUGCGGAGGAACACCGAUGGCGAAGGCAAUCCCCUGGGCCUGCACUGACGCUCAUGCACGAAAGCGUGGGGAGCAAACAGG